AUUGAGCGCUGGCGGCAGGCCUAACACAUGCAAGUCGAGCGGAUGAAGGGAGCUUGCUCCUGGAUUCAGCGGCGGACGGGUGAGUAAUGCCUAGGAAUCUGCCUGGUAGUGGGGGAUAACGUCCGGAAACGGGCGCUAAUACCGCAUACGUCCUGAGGGAGAAAGUGGGGGAUCUUCGGACCUCACGCUAUCAGAUGAGCCUAGGUCGGAUUAGCUAGUUGGUGGGGUAAAGGCCUACCAAGGCGACGAUCCGUAACUGGUCUGAGAGGAUGAUCAGUCACACUGGAACUGAGACACGGUCCAGACUCCUACGGGAGGCAGCAGUGGGGAAUAUUGGACAAUGGGCGAAAGCCUGAUCCAGCUAUGCCGCGUGUGUGAAGAAGGUCUUCGGAUUGUAAAGCACUUUAAGUUGGGAGGAAGGGCAGUAAGUUAAUACCUUGCUGUUUUGACGUUACCAACAGAAUAAGCACCGGCUAACUUCGUG
rnacentral:rRNA from 1 species